rnacentral:rRNA from 1 species
UACGUAGGGUGCAAGCGUUAAUCGGAAUUACUGGGCGUAAAGCGUGCGCAGGUGGUUGUGUAAGCUUGAUGUGAAAUCCCCGGGCUUAACCUGGGAAUGGCAUUGAGGACUGCACGGCUAGAGUGUGGCAGGGGGGGGUGGAAUUCCGCGUGUAGCAGUGAAAUGCGUAGAGAUGCGGAGGAACACCGAUGGCGAAGGCAGCCCCCUGGGCUAACACUGACACUCAUGCACGAAAGCGUGGGGAGCAAACAGG